GACGACGACCCUACCCCUUCCGGCACUAGGUCCGCAACUUCCGGCUGGGGGGUCCGGCGGCUGGCGGUGGGGCUGCGGCGGGGUCCCGGUGGGCGGCCAAGAUGGCGGCGGGCGGCGCGGAGGGCGGCGCGGGCCCCAGCGCCGCCAUGGGCGACUGCGCUGAGAUCAAGUCGCAGUUUCGCACUCGCGAGGGCUUCUACAAGCUGCUUCCCGGCGACGCGACACGCAGGUCGGCUCCAGCCUCCGCCCAGACCCCGGCGCCGCCGCAGCCCCCUCAGCCCCCGCCCGGACCUGCCGCAGCCUCAGGGCCUGGCGCCGCGGGCCCUGCGUCGUCCCCGCCGCCCGCCGGCCCCGGACCGGGGCCCGCGCUGCCCGCCGUCCGCCUCAGCCUGGUGCGCCUUGGCGAGCCCGAUGGCGCCGGGGAGCCGCCCUCCACGCCCUCGGGACUGGGUGCGGGAGGAGACCGCGUCUGCUUCAACCUGGGCCGCGAGCUUUACUUCUACCCCGGAUGCUGCCGCCGCGGGAGCCAACGGUCCAUUGACCUCAACAAGCCCAUUGACAAGCGGAUCUACAAGGGGACCCAGCCCACCUGCCACGACUUCAACCAGUUUACAGCGGCCACAGAGACCAUUUCCUUGCUGGUGGGCUUCUCUGCUGGCCAGGUGCAGUACCUAGACCUCAUCAAGAAGGACACCAGCAAGCUCUUCAAUGAAGAGCGGCUGAUUGACAAGACCAAGGUGACUUAUCUGAAGUGGCUGCCUGAGUCUGAGAGUCUAUUCCUCGCAUCUCAUGCCAGUGGCCACCUGUACCUCUACAAUGUCAGCCACCCCUGCGCCUCCACCCCACCCCAGUAUAGCCUGUUGAAGCAGGGUGAGGGCUUUGCUGUCUAUGCAGCUAAAAGCAAGGCACCCCGCAAUCCACUGGCCAAGUGGGCGGUGGGUGAGGGACCCCUCAAUGAGUUUGCAUUCUCGCCCGAUGGCCGACACCUAGCCUGUGUCAGCCAGGAUGGCUGCCUCCGUGUCUUCCACUUUGACAGCAUGCUUCUUCGUGGCCUCAUGAAGAGCUACUUUGGGGGUCUGCUGUGUGUGUGCUGGAGCCCUGAUGGCCGUUAUGUGGUGACGGGAGGGGAAGAUGACCUGGUUACUGUGUGGUCCUUCACGGAGGGUCGUGUAGUGGCUCGAGGUCAUGGCCACAAGUCCUGGGUCAAUGCUGUGGCCUUUGAUCCCUACACCACGCGAGCAGAGGAAGCAACAUCGGCCAGUGGUGAUGGGGAUCCCAGUGGUGAGGAGGAAGAGCCUGAAGCCAACAACUCAGACACAGGAGCUCCACUGUCCCCACUACCCAAGGCUGGCUCCAUCACCUACCGCUUUGGCUCAGCUGGCCAGGACACACAGUUCUGCCUGUGGGACCUCACAGAGGACGUGAUCUCCCCUCAUCCCUCUCUGGCCCGUACCCGCACCCUCCCAGGCACACCUGGGGCCACCCCACCAGCCUCUGGUAGCUCUCGGGCCGGAGAGACAUGCACAGGCCCCCUGCCCCGCUCCCUGUCGCGCUCCAACAGCCUCCCACACCCAGCUGGUGGUGGCAAAGCUGGUGGGCCUAGUGCGGCAAUGGAGCCCGGCACACCAUUCAGCAUUGGCCGCUUCGCCACGCUGACCCUGCAGGAGAGGCGGGACCGAGGGGCUGAAAAGGAACACAAGCGCUACCACAGCCUAGGGAACAUCAGCCGUGGGGGCAGUGGGAGCAAUAGCAGCAACGACAAGCUCAGUGGCCCCGCUCCCCGUAGUCGCUUGGACCCAGCCAAGGUGCUGGGCACAGCACUGUGCCCUCGAAUUCAUGAGGUCCCAUUACUGGAGCCGCUCGUGUGCAAGAAGAUCGCUCAGGAGCGCCUGACUGUGCUGCUGUUCCUGGAGGACUGUAUCAUCACUGCCUGCCAGGAGGGCCUCAUCUGCACCUGGGCUCGGCCAGGCAAGGCGUUUACAGAUGAGGAGACCGAGGCCCAGACAGGGGAAGCAAGUUGGCCCAGGUCACCCAGCAAGUCAGUGGUAGAGGGCAUCUCCUCCCAACCAGGCAACUCCCCCAGUGGCACUGUGGUGUGAAGCUGUGGAUGUUCCAUGCCCCCAGCCUCCUAGCCAUAAUCCUCCCUGCUGACCUCAAGGAUCCCUGUAUUAACAAGACUAAUCAUGUCGGAAGGACUUCUGCAAACCCCACCCUGUCCAAGUGCUGGGGAUUCCCCUAGACUGGCCCAGCCAUGGGGUUGUAGAGGCCUGUGUGCCUCAGCCCUGGCUUCUGCCCACUGCCAAGUACAAUGACCUGUCCUCUGAAGCAUCAGUGUUAACCCACAUCCCUGUCUCAGCAUGUGACUGGUCACUCCUGGGAGAGACUCCACCCACAACAGCCCAACUCCACAGUGCCCCUGGCCCUGAGCAGAGUCCUUUGGAAGAAGAACCCCUGAGCCCCAGAGUCAAGAGACUGAGGUGGCCCCUUCCUGCUAGGUCCUUCAGAGGUGCUGAAACUUGUUUUAAAGUGUCGGGACUAUCCACGCAUGCUCUUCUGGGAGGAGGGGAGGAUGCUGGGAACUGAGCUGUGCCUCAUCUUCUGGACAUGUCUUUGCAGCCUGGUGCCCCUGGCCCUUGAAGUGCCAGCUGCUGGAGGCCAUGAUUUCCUCCCCAGAGAACUGGCCACCCUAGAAAGACACUAACAUGUCUCCUGGCUGGCUGUCUAAAUGGCUCCACCCCCAACCCCCAAAAUGUUUCUGUCUCUAAUCCUAGCCUGGGCAGGAAUGUGGCUGCCCCGGCCUGUGGCCAGGGAGCUAUUUUGGGGUCUCUCUCACUUGGGGAGGGCCUGGCUCCACCACUUGUCUCCCCCAGGCUUGGGCCAGCAGGUCACCCCUGGCCCUGGUGGCUGGCUAGGUUCCCUCCUGAUCUCCCUUCCACCUCCUGCCAAAAAAGGGGGGGCGUGUAAUACAGCAGGCACAGGAACUAAAUUUAACUGUCCCAAAGUCGGAAUCCAUUGCUGAGUCACGAAGAAGCUGCCCCUGGCCUCUGCCCCCCUCCCCCGUGGGCCUAGGCAUCAGCCCCUUUCUCCACCCCUCCCAGCUCUGAAUUUAGAUUGGCACUUCUGAGCACUGACACCUCACACCUGUAACUCCCUCUGCUCUACCCUUUUGUGGGUGGGUAGGGGCUUGGGGGGGGCAUCUGUGGAGUACUACUCUAUCCUUUGACAUUGGGCAUCAAAGAGUUUUGAGGGGCCCUGAAAGAAAGGAGUUGGGGUGUUGGCUUA